rnacentral:rRNA from 1 species
UACGAAGGGGGCUAGCGUUGCUCGGAAUUACUGGGCGUAAAGGGCGCGUAGGCGGACAGUUUAGUCAGAGGUGAAAGCCCAGGGCUCAACCUUGGAACUGCCUUUGAUACUGACUGUCUUGAGUUCGGGAGAGGUGAGUGGAAUGCCGAGUGUAGAGGUGAAAUUCGUAGAUAUUCGGCGGAACACCAGUGGCGAAGGCGGCAUCCUGGACCGACAUUGACGCUGAAAACCGAAAGCUAGGGGAGCAAACGGG